rnacentral:rRNA from 1 species
ACGCUGGCGGCGUGCUUAACACAUGCAAGUCGAACGGUAACAGGAAGAAGCUUGCUUCUUUGCUGACGAGUGGCGGACGGGUGAGUAAUGUCUGGGAAACUGCCUGAUGGAGGGGGAUAACUACUGGAAACGGUAGCUAAUACCGCAUAACGUCGCAAGACCAAAGAGGGGGACCUUCUGGCCUCUUGCCAUCGGAUGUGCCCAGAUGGGAUUAGCUAGUAGGUGGGGUAACGGCUCACCUAGGCGACGAUCCCUAGCUGGUCUGAGAGGAUGACCAGCCACACUGGAACUGAGACACGGUCCAGACUCCUACGGGAGGCAGCAGUGGGGAAUAUUGCACAAUGGGCGCAAGCCUGAUGCAGCCAUGCCGCGUGUAUGAAGAAGGCCUUCGGGUUGUAAAGUACUUUCAGCGGGGAGGAAGGGAGUAAAGUUAAUACCUUUGCUCAUUGACGUUACCCGCAGAAGAAGCACCGGCUAACUCCGUG